GGAAUAAAAACCAACAUAAGUCCGCUUCAAUGCAUCCAUAUCAGUGAGAUCAUCACCAACCAACAUUAUAUUCCAAGGUGAAAGUUUGAGACAACAGACUGUCCAAUAUCACAUAAAUCUGAAUAGUCAAUGGCAAGGACAUCUGACCUUUCCACUCUUCUGCCAUUAUCAGAAAAGGAGCUUGCUACAGACUAAGUGCUUGUGACCCUCCCAAAAUUCCCUGGCUGGAAUUUAAUCCCUAAUAUGAAUGUAUUCGGAAGUGGCCCUGUGGGAGAUGAUUGGGUCACAAGGAUGGAGCCCCUACUAAUGGGAUUAGUGCCUGUAUAAUAGAG
ensembl:lncRNA